UGUUGCUAUUUUUAUUUUUUCAUGGAGUUGAUUUGCCCAAAUUCCUGGCAGAGGUUCUAGGGUUUGGAACAGUGGAGAUGACGAGAAAAACGAGCUGUUGUGGUAUUUGUGAGAAUUCAAAUCUACCUUCCGUUUGUACUCUUUGCGUCAAUUACAGAUUGAAUGAGUACAGCACUGUGUUGAAAUCACUGAAGGGGAGGAGAGAAGCAUUAUGUGGGCAAUUAAGUGAAAUACUCUUGGCUAAGGGCAAGGCCGACGAUCAACUUAGUUGGA
rnacentral:misc_RNA from 1 species